AGACAAUAUGAGCCCAUCCUGCCACUAUGAAAGGCUAGAUGACCAGAGGGCCAGCGCUGGACACACGCACACACACACAGACGUACACCAGGAGACUGACUGAGAAAAGGAAACUUGGGGAAUCAAACAAGAAGCCAGAAUCAACAAGCUGAUGGAAGUGAUAAGGAAAGAUGUUUGCUCAACCAUGUAUCUGUGUGUGGGGGUGUUGAAUACCUCUCCUCCUCUCCCGCUCCUGGAGGAGGCGUAAAGAAGUGAGAAGGUGCAGGCGGUGGAGGUGAUUAUGGACACCAAGCUCCAAGAGGUCAUACUCUGAGAGCUGGAACAGAUCAUGCAGAGCUGAACAACUCCAUGACCUCUCAUGGCAGUCCUGCGGAGAGCUGACAGAACACUUGUGAAUGUUGGUUUUGACUGUGUGAAUGUUGUUGCAACAGUGAAAAUGCAAGUGAAUGAAUGGCAGAAGAGAUGCAGGGACCAUUUUGGGCAUUAACAUAUUUCCUCAUGUGGCUGUAAUUUUUUAAAACCUUGAUUUUCUGUGACUCUUCUGCCUGCAGCAUGGACACAGUCUAAAGGAUAAGGUGGGGCUGCAAUAGAGAGCACUAGCGCCACUGACCAAAAGCUAUAUAUUCAGUGUGGCUUUGGGUAGAAUCCCUGGUGGGGAUUUUGUCACUGCUUUCUAUACUUGUGUGUGCUUUGUAAGUCAAAGCCAAGUGACAAACAAAUAUGUGCCACUAUAUUGAAAUGAAUCAGAGCUAGGAGAUGCUCUUUGGCAUGCAGCUGUUGGGAGCAAUACUGACGCUGACUGAGUUGGUUUUACCACAGUGUUGUGUUAACAAGCAGCCUGGAUGACUAGGAGGCACUGAGGCACACGUUGUCAUAAUAUUCAGUGAGAGGUUAGCGACUCUGUGCUGAGCUUAUUAUACAUGGAGGCUGGUCCGGGAUGGGUUAGAGUUUGACUGGCAGUUCUUUUAAUCAUACCUACUGCUGCAAUAAAUCUGCACAGGUAUGAUUAAAAGAACUGCCAGUAGCUCCAGUCACCGGUUUCACACAUAUAUUUUUAACAACUUAGAGAAAUAUUCCUGUGAAGUGAAGAAAUCUGAUUCAGUACACAAUAAAAGUUACCGGUAACACGUAGAUUUAAUCUCAAAGUAAUUAUAACUGUGGAAUUUUGAAGUUUUUGUGUAUGAAGAAUUUUUUAUCCAUUAUGGUUAAAUGACACUAGAAUAACAUUCUCUUUUCACCUUGUUUUGUCUGUACCUCCUUGUCACUUUCACCUUUUCCCCCAUUCUAUGCCUUUGCUAAUUACACCAAUGCCUUCUGGGUAAACAUUAUAAGAAGUUAAUAAAGUAGUUCAUGUCUUAUUGGCUAAUCAAUCUCCUCUCCUAACCAAUGGUCAUGUAACAUUCAGAAUGAAGUGGCUGGAUGGUAAAACAGCCUCCACACCACUGUCCAUUCAGUCGAAUGGGCCUGUGAUGAAGUUUUAUUAGGCUGUUAUGGGGAACGCUCUUAACAGCAAUUCUCCUUCCAGUGGGCUUUGCCACACUAAAAACAUGUUCUUGUAAAAGAUUGUUUUAUCACAUUUUUACUGAUCUACCCUUCCAAAACAGAUGUGUUAAAGCGUCAGUUCACC